AAUUCUCUCCAUGGGGCUGCUAUAAGCUCAAAAAGAUGGCUUUACAGAAGUUUGUUUUAAAUGGUGAGAUAGUGGCCGACGGCUAGGAAGAAGGUGGUUAGCUUCCAUAGUUUUUUAAAUGGUGAGAUAGUGGCCAACGGCUAGGAAGAAGAUGGUUAGCUUCCAAAAUUUUUUACUGAGUUAAAUCUAUGAUUGUAGUUCCAAAUGUUUGAGUGCAAAGAUUAAGGCAGAAUUUUUAAAAUCAAGAUCAAGAUUGUAGCUGCUAAUUUUUGUUAAGAAAUUUGAUUUUGUUUCAUGUAGUUCAAGUGCAAUAAAGAGCAUAAUUGGUGUAUGUAAAUAAUUUGAAUAGGAUGGCAUGAAAUUGAUAGAGGCAUAAAUCAAGUGCACGAAACUUCUUAAUUUCCUCUAAGGGUUAGUGUAGAUAUUUCCAAUAACACUUACCAUAGAUAUUCUAUGCAAAUCCAUAUGCAAGAAAUGUUAAAUCUAGCAACCAAAAUUACCAAUUAUGUUACAAUCAUCACUUUUAAAUAGAUUGCUAUAAUGUAAAUAUAUAAAUUUGAUUUUGUGCAUGGAAGGAGUUUCAUCUUCAUCAUAAAUUGUAGAGGGAUUUUCCCAAUAAAUUUACCCCAAGAAACAAGCUAUUGAUGUUUUCCCCA
rnacentral:lncRNA from 1 species